CUAAAGUUUAAUCAUGAAUUAGAAAUGUGAUGCUCAGGUAGUUUAGAAGUUUGUUUCAGGUGAAGGCAUGGUCAUGUGAUUAAGAAGUUCCUGCCUUGUCAAUACGGUUGACGUGAACUUGCCAUGUCCUUGACGUUACAACCACUUUAGUGCUUAUGCUACCCAUGAUUUAAUGCAUCCAGUACACUGUAAAGGCGGUUGGUGUUAGAGGGCAUCCAGCUGAAGAAAUUAUACCAAAAACAGAACAGGCAAGUGAGACUGCAUCAAAUGCUAAAGGUGACCAAUUCA